rnacentral:rRNA from 1 species
AAGACCUCGCGCGAUUGGAGCGGCCGAUAUCAGAUUAGGUAGUUGGUGAGGUAAAGGCUCACCAAGCCGACGAUCUGUAGCUGGUCUGAGAGGACGACCAGCCACACUGGGACUGAGACACGGCCCAGACUCCUACGGGAGGGCAGCAGUGGGGAAUUUUGGACAAUGGGCGCAAGCCUGAUCCAGCAAUGCCGCGUGCAGGAUGAAGGCCUUCGGGUUGUAAACUGCUUUUGUACGGAACGAAACGGUGAGCUCUAAUACAGUUUGCUAAUGACGGUACCGUAAGAAUAAGCACCGGCUAACUACGUG